GAGUUUGAUCAUGGCUCAGAUUGAACGCUGGCGGCAUGCCUUACACAUGCAAGUCGAACGGCAGCACGGGAGCUUGCUCCUGGGUGGCGAGUGGCGAACGGGUGAGUAAUGCAUCGGAACGUAUCCUGGAGUGGGGGAUAACGUAGCGAAAGUUACGCUAAUACCGCAUAUUCUGUGAGCAGGAAAGCGGGGGACCUUCGGGCCUCGCGCUCUUGGAGCGGCCGAUGUCGGAUUAGCUAGUUGGUGAGGUAAAGGCUCACCAAGGCGACGAUCCGUAGCAGGUCUGAGAGGAUGAUCUGCCACACUGGAACUGAGACACGGUCCAGACUCCUACGGGAGGCAGCAGUGGGGAAUUUUGGACAAUGGGGGCAACCCUGAUCCAGCCCAUGCCGCGUGAGUGAAGAAGGCC
rnacentral:rRNA from 1 species